UGGGACAACGUUUAAAUGCGAGAACUGGAGGAUGGUCCUGUAUCGUGAAGCAAUUCCUCCCCAGAUUGUUCAUUUGGUCGAAGUGUUUAACCCUCCCAGAUAGAUGAGAACCAUCCCUUGUCAAGGACAUGAGUGACUAUGAAGGCUGGCUGCAAACUCAAAAAAGGACUGAGUCAGAAGGCUCUGAGCUGCACGCCAGGGGGUUCACGAAGACUAAGAUAUAGAUCUGAUCUCAUGGAACUCAAUUUCUCUUAGAGGAAGCUGGCUGGACAAGAACUAAUGGCACCUGUCUAUAUAAACACACUGCACUCCAGGUGAAUAGUAUGCCCAAACAGAGGCCACAGAGAUGAACAAACUCACCUCUUGAAUGGGGAAAAGAUGAGCGGAUCGACUCAUAGGGCAAUACAAAAAUGACAGCAUUCAGGAUGUUAAGGGUUCCGAGAAGCGGCAAAGCUAAUGCUCUGAAGGAGGAAAAGAAAUAUGUUGCGAUGUUCUCAAGACGUAUAUCAAAGAUGUUUCAGUCCCCAUGGUUUUGGGAGGUUUGGCCAGCUUCUUUACUGCAUCCUGUUUUAUCUGCGGAGUCUGCUGAACUCCUAUCUCACAGCAUUUGCCUCUGAGUACAGCAGAUGUCAACAAGGUUUUGAACUGUUUGCUCUCAGUUCCAUAUUCUUCCUGUCCCCCCAGGAUUCAUUAGAUUCUCACCUGGGCUUCAGUAAACGAAUUUUGCAUGGAGAGUUUCAGAUGAUGUUCAGUGACAAAUUUGUACCUCAGACAACUUGGGAUUCAGAAGAAUAUUUCAAAAGGACUGCAUAAUGUAAACACUCUUGAGACAGAUGACCAAUUUGUUUCCUGCAGUUUGUUCGCAUUUACACACUUCUAACAAUAUGGAGAUGUAUGUCUCACUGAAAUCAUGAUGACAACAGAGUUUUUUGCUUCUGUCUGCCAAUUUUUCCUUUGGGGCACUCAUGGGUAGAAACUGGAACCACUGUCUUGAAUCAAAAGAUGGAAGAAGCUUCUCUUGAAGAUUAAAGGGACACAAGACAGAAGUUGUCUGUGUCCCUGAGGGCUUAGCAGAGGAGACUUGACCUACUUUCUUGGGCUUGUUGUGACAUCUAUUUAUAAUUGCAUCUUUGGUAACUUUUCUGAAGAAAAUAAACAUUAGACUCGGUCAGAGAAUAAUGGUGAAAAGGUUGCCCUGGAAAAAGUGAUAAGGAACAGCCUUUUUGGGAUGGUGAAUAUGAAGAGUAUGAAUUACAAUGUUCCUGAAAAGAUUGUGUGACUGCAAAAAUACCCUUUGAAGUAGUUGGUCCAGAAACACUGAAGGUUUGUAUAGAAGAGACAGACCUUCCACCCUGUCUCUUCUAUCACACAGCAAUGACUGAUAAACUGGAAAAUUUAAAGAAGACAUAAAGGCUAAAUUCCAUGACAAAUCAUGUCAGUGGACUAGUCUAAAUGGAAGUGCAAAACAGUAAGUGUGCACUGAAGUGCAAAACCAACUGAGUUCUACAUGACCGAAUAUAAGCAUAGAUCGCCAGGAAUUCAGCUCCUACAAAGAAAAUUGGAACCAAUGUGUAUUGACCCUUGCCAAAAAGUAGAGACUGUUUUGGCUAUGAAAAUAGUCCUGGUCACAGCUCCCACCAAAAAAUGAAAACUUAAAAAUAAUGAUAAUUUUAAAAGCUGGGAUGUAUUUUUUAGGGCCGAGGAAAGUUUCGCACUGAGUUACUUGAGAUAAUGGGAGAAAACUAAGACAACUGUGCAGCCACCACAGGUAACUCAGGAACUGGAUAGUAUGCCCAGUUAGGAUUAGAGACUUGAGAUGUCUUAUGUAGCAAUAAACUGAGGCUAUCAGUGGCAUGCAAAGUAAACCCAAAGAAAGCAGAAAGGAAAUAAAAAGUACUAAAGGUAAAAUCAGUAAUUUUAAAAAGAAUAUAUAACCCAAUAGAAUCAAAGUUUAGUUCUCCAAAAAGACAAAUAAAAUGGAUGAACUUUGGCAUAAAUAAAUAAAAAUAAUUAAUACUAAGGUAUUAAUUUAAUAUAGCAUAUAAGUCUGUAUUGAAAUAUUAAAUAUAAUACAAAAUUUAAAAUGAAUAAAGAACAAAAGAGAAGACACGAAUUACUGAUAGUAGAAAUAAAAAUGAGAACAUAAUCAUAGAUCCUACAGACAUUAAAAAGACAAUACAUGAUGCCUAAAAGACUACAUGCGUGAGACCAGCUGGUCUGCUCUCCAGCAAAUCAACCCGAGGGAAACUCGGGGGGAGAAGGAAAACUCGAUGCAGACUCAUAAAAAGUACUUAAGACAGAUGGAUCCUGGAGGUUACCAGUAUGAAGGAUUGAACAGGUUGGUAUUUCUGAUUACCUUCAUUGUAACUGAUAUUGUAAAG
rnacentral:lncRNA from 1 species